AACGAGGCCGACCUGCGGCUGAGUUACCUGCGGAGGGAUCAUUACAGAGAUUGAUGCAUCAAGUGCAUCACCUCCAACCCCUUGCAAAAACAACUAUUAUACGUUGCUUUGGCAGUGUUUGUGCUGCCAGAGGAUCAAAAUAAAAUCAGCUUUUGAUGUUGUCUGAGUAAACUAUGAAUUGUUUAAAACUUUUAGCAAUGGAUCU
rnacentral:misc_RNA from 1 species